rnacentral:rRNA from 1 species
UACAGAGGGUGCGAGCGUAAUCGGAAUUACUGGGCGUAAAGCGUGCGCAGACGGUCACGUAAGUCGGGUGUGAAAGCCCCGGGCUCAACCAGGGAAUUGCAUUCGAGACUGCGUGGCUAGGGUGCGGAAGAGGGAAGCGGAAUUUCCGGUGUAGCGGUGAAAUGCGUAGAUAAUCGGAAGGAACACCAGUGGCGAAAGCGGCUCCUGGUCCAGCACCGACGUCAGGCACGAAAGCCGUGGGGAGCAAACAGG